rnacentral:rRNA from 1 species
CCUACGGGUGGCUGCAGUGGGGAAUAUUGGACAAUGGGCGAAAGCCUGAUCCAGCCAUGCCGCGUGUGUGAAGAAGGCCUUCGGGUUGUAAAGCACUUUCAGUGGGGAAGAAAGCCUUGGGGCUAAUACCCUCGAGGAAGGACAUCACCCACAGAAGAAGCACCGGCUAACUCCGUGCCAGCAGCCGCGGUAAUACGGAGGGUGCGAGCGUUAAUCGGAAUUACUGGGCGUAAAGCGCGCGUAGGCGGUCUGAUAAGCCGGUUGUGAAAGCCCCGGGCUCAACCUGGGAACGGCAUCCGGAACUGUCAGGCUAGAGUGCAGGAGAGGAAGGUAGAAUUCCCGGUGUAGCGGUGAAAUGCGUAGAGAUCGGGAGGAAUACCAGUGGCGAAGGCGGCCUUCUGGACUGACACUGACGCUGAGGUGCGAAAGCGUGGGUAGCAAACAGGAUUAGAUACCCGGGUAGU